GCACAGUGUAGACUUUAUGUUAGUAUUGGGGUCUCCUUUUGUUAAUCCUCUUUAAGAUAUGUUAUGGGCAAUGAAGAGGCUCCAUCUAAUUUUCAUUGCUUUGGUUCUUUGGAGAGAUACAAAUGGAUUUGGAGUGUGGAAUAGAACCUCUGUUGUUGACUUGCAAGCUGGACAUUUUAAUGCAACAUGGAACCAAAAUUUUCACUUGGCUACACCUGUUCAAUCUUUGGAGCUACUGUCCAGGAAAGGUGCAAAUGGAGAUGAAGGCGGAAGAAAUUCUAGUAGUUUCAGUUAUACUUUGGCAGUCCAAACUGCUCCCCAGGAUUCUAGUUUUGUUCAGUCUUCUGGUGGUGCUGCUCAAGGUAAACCUGUACUAAAUGCUCAAGGUCAAGCAGCUCCCAUGGUUCAACCCCAGGACAAUUUGACAUCCCAGUCCUCAAGGCUCGAUUGGUUUGAAUUUCUCAAGCCUAAAUGUUGUGGCUCUUGGGUCUCUCAAUCUUGGCCACAAAAAGGUCGGAACAACCCUGGAUUCCAAAGACCAUCCUCUUUCCAGCUUGAAGGUGCUAUAAAUCAGCCAUCAGGAUUCCAGACCCAGUCAUCAUACCAGCCUAGCACCACCACACAGGUUCUUGCAGGCCAGUCUGGUUCCUCAUCUCAGGCUCAGGGCAGCUAUGGUGCUGGACCUUCAGCACAAGCUAAAUGGUACAGCAUUGUACCGGGUCAGACCACUCCCUCCUUUUCUCAAGUUCCUGGAAUCCAGACCCAGUCAUCAUACCAGCCUAGCACCACAACACAGGUUCUUGCAGGCCAGUUUGCUUCCUCAUCUCAGGUUCAGGGUAGCUAUGGUGCUGGACCUUCAGCACAAGCUAAAUGGUACAGCAUUGUACAGGGUCAGACCACUCCCUCCUUUUCUCAAGUUCCUGGAAUCCAGACCCAGUCAUCAUACCAGCCUAGCACCACAACACAGGUUCAGACAGGCGAGUCUAUUGCCCAGCCUGAGUCGUUCGGAGCUUCAGCUUCAUAUCCAAGUCAAACCUCUGGCAUGUACUCUGUUGUACAGGGUCCUCUGAUUGCAUCCUCUUCCCAAAUGCCUGGGUUCCACAUCCAGUCAUCAUACCAGCCUGGCACCACAACACAGGUUCAGACAGGCCAGUCUGCGUCUACAUCUCAGGCUCAGUCCUCUGGUGCGUCAACGUUGUAUCAAGGGAUUAGCUCUGGCAGGUAUCUGACUUCACUGGGUCAUAUAAUUCCAUCCUCCUCCCAGUCUGUGGUCACUACAAACCAGACAUCUGGAUCCCAGACCCAGUCAUCAUACCAGCCUAGCACUACAACGCUCCUUCAGACAGGCCAGCCUGUUCUUCCUCAGAGUCAGCCUUCGGGAGCUUCUGCUUCAUAUCCAAGUCAAACCUCUGGCGUGUACAAUAUUGCACAGCGUCCAUUGACUGCAACCCUUUCCGAAAUACCUGGGUUCCACAUCCAGUCAUCAUACCAGCCUGGCACUACAACACUGCUUCAGACAGGCCAGUCUGCGUCUACAUCUCAGGCUCAGUCCUCUGGUGCAUCAACGUUGUAUCAAGGGAUUAGCUCUGGCAGGUAUCUGACUUCACUGGGUCAUAUAAUUCCAUCCUCCUCCCAGUCUGUGGUCACUACAAACCAGACAUCUGGAUCCCAGACCCAGUCAUCAUACCAGCCUGGCACUACAACACUGCUUCAGACAGGCCAGUCUGCUUCUACAUCUCAGGCUCUUGGCAGCCAUGGAGCUGCACCUUCAGGACAUGCUAAAUGGUACACCAUUGUACAAGGUCAGACAAUUCCAUCUUCUCAAGCCUCUGGAUCCCAGACCCAGUCAUCAUACCAGCCUGGCACCACAACACAGGUUCAGACAGGCCAGUCUGCUUCUACAUCUCGGGCUCAGUCCUCUGGUGCAUCAACAUUGUAUCCAGGGAUUAGGAGGAAUGUGACUUCUCUGGGUCAUGGCUUUCCAUACUCAACCCAGUCUGUGGUGACCGCAAACCAGACAUCUGGAUCCCAGACCCAGUCAUCAUACCAGCCUAGCACUACAACACUGCUUCAGACAGGCCAGCCUGUUCUUCCUCAGAGUCAGCCUUCGGGAGCUUCUGCUCCAUAUCCAAGUCAAACCUCUGGCGUGUACAAUAUUGCACAGCGUCCAUUGACUGCAACCCUUUCCGAAAUACCUGGGUUCCACAUCCAGUCAUCAUACCAGCCUGGCACUACAACACUGCUUCAGACAGGCCAGUCUGCGUCUACAUCUCAGGCUCAGUCCUCUGGAGCAUCAACGUUGUAUCAAGGGAUUAGCUCUGGCAGGUAUCUGACGUCACUGGGUCAUAUAAUUCCUUCCUCCUCCCAGUCUGUGGUCACUACAAACCAGACAUCUGGAUCCCAGACCCAGUCAUCAUACCAGCCUGGCACCACAACACUGCUUCAGACAGCCCAGUCUGCUCCUACAUCUCAGGCUCAGUCCUCUGGUGCAUCAACAUUGUAUCAAGGAAUUAGGAGGAAUGUGACUUCUCUGGGUCAUGGCUUUCCAUACUCAACCCAGUCUGUGGUGACUGCAAACCAGACAUCUGGAUUCCAGACCCAGUCAUCAUACCAGCCUGGCACUACA
ensembl:lncRNA